GCUGGAAUUGCUAGUAAUGGCAGGUCAGCAUACUGCCGUGAAUACGUUCCCGGGCCCUUGUACACACCGCCCGUCACACCAUGAGAGUUGGGAAUACCCGAAGCCUGUGAGCUAACUGUAAGGAGGCAGCAGUCGAAGGUAGAAUCAAUGAUUGGGGUGAAGUCGUAACAAGGUAGC
rnacentral:rRNA from 1 species